rnacentral:rRNA from 1 species
GGGGAAUUUUCCGCAAUGGGCGAAAGCCUGACGGAGCAACGCCGCGUGAGGGAGGAAGGUCUUUGGAUUGUAAACCUCUUUUCUCAAGGAAGAAGUUCUGACGGUACUUGAGGAAUCAGCCUCGGCUAACUCCGUGCCAGCAGCCGCGGUAAUACGGGGGAGGCAAGCGUUAUCCGGAAUUAUUGGGCGUAAAGCGUCCGCAGGUGGUCAGCCAAGUCUGCCGUCAAAUCAGGUUGCUUAACGACCUAAAGGCGGUGGAAACUGGCAGACUAGAGAGCAGUAGGGGUAGCAGGAAUUCCCAGUGUAGCGGUGAAAUGCGUAGAGAUUGGGAAGAACAUCGGUGGCGAAAGCGUGCUACUGGGCUGUAUCUGACACUCAGGGACGAAAGCUAGGGGAGCGAAAGGGAUUAGAUACCCCUGUAGUC